rnacentral:rRNA from 1 species
UAAGGAAUAUUGGACAAUGGAGGCAACUCUGAUCCAGCAAUGCCGCGUGAAGGAAUAAGGCCCUGUGGGUUGUAAACUUCUUUUAGACGGGACAAAACCCCUUUACGUGUAAAGGGUUGAUGGUACUGUCAGAAUACGCAUCGGCUAACUUCGUGCCAGCAGCCGCGGUAAUACGAAGGAUGCAAGCGUUAUCCGGAAUUAUUGGGUUUAAAGGGUGCGUAGGCGGACUAAUAAGUCAGUGGUGAAAGCCUGCAGCUUAACUGCAGAAUUGCCAUUGAUACUGUUAGUCUUGAGUACAGUUGAGGUAGGCGGAAUGUGUCAUGUAGCGGUGAAAUGCUUAGAUAUGACACAGAACACCGAUUGCAAAGGCAGCUUGCUAAGCUGUAACUGACGCUGAGGCACGAAAGCGUGGGGAGCAAACA